rnacentral:rRNA from 1 species
AACGAACGCUGGCGGCAUGCCUAACACAUGCAAGUCGAACGAGACCUUCGGGUCUAGUGGCGCACGGGUGCGUAACGCGUGGGAACCUGCCCUUAGGUUCGGAAUAACUCCCCGUAAGGGGUGCUAAUACCGGAUAAUGUCUUCGGACCAAAGAUUUAUCGCCUUUGGAUGGGCCCGCGUUGGAUUAGCUAGUUGGUAGGGUAAAAGCCUACCAAGGCGACGAUCCAUAGCUGGUCUGAGAGGAUGAUCAGCCACACUGGGACUGAGACACGGCCCAGACUCCUACGGGAGGCAGCAGUAGGGAAUAUUGGGCAAUGAGCGAAAGCCUGAUCCAGCAAUGCCGCGUGAGUGAUGAAGGCCGUAGGGUUGUAAAGCUCUUUUACCCGGGAUGAGAAUGACAGUACCGGGAGAAUAAGCUCCGGCUAACUCCGUG